UAAGUUUGGCGAAAUGACACUUUCCCACCCAUGGAGUUUCAAAACGACAUUUUCCCAUCACUGUUAUGUUCUGUUAGGCAAAUUCAUCCUGAAGACGGAUAAGAGAUGGUCAAUUUAAAUGAAGCCACAAAAAUCAAAAUUUAAAGAUUGAAACUUUACCGGAAUGGUUGUCACGUGUCUCACUAAAGUUGACUUGGAAAAAAAAAGGAAGAAGCGUUUUCUCCCUGUUCUCAAUAACUCAAGUGACUGCUGAAUUAGGGUUGGUGACUGGCAAGAGAAGAGAUCGUGUGGAGAGAAAUCUAGGUUUCUUUUAAAUUGUAGGACUAUAGUGAGGAUUAUCAAUACCUGCGGAUUUAGGCAAUAUUGGAGGUUAUUAGAUGAUAGAAGCUGCACCAAAGGAAACACAGGCAGUAAAGGUUGAACAUGUGAUAUGAGAACAAAAUGUUUUCGCUACAACUGAAUUCAUUGAGCUAUUUUCUGAGUUAAUAGUGACCAGACUUACCAUCAUUGCAAAUGGAAAGCUGGUGUGAUAUUUGCCUCCCCAAGGUGCUCAGAAAUUCUAGAAAUAGCGGCAAUGAGGAAUAUUUUUGAGAAAAAAAAAACAUGGUAGAGAUUUUGUAUCUGCAGCCUAAUUCUGGAGUAAAUCCCAUGAUGAGUGCAAAGAAUGAUGGUUAUAGCUUUGGUCUUGUCCUGUCGGAACUCUUAACUGGGCAAAAGCCUGUUGAUCAUACUCUAUCGCAUGGAUAGCAGAGCCUUGUGACAUGGAUACGCUAUGAUCGGACAUAUGAGUGCAAAGAGUGAUGCUUAUAGCUUUGGUCUUGUCAUGCCAGAACUCUUAACUGGGCAGAAGCCUGUUGAUCAUACUCUGUCACGUGGAUAGUAGAGCCUUGUGACAUGAGAAACUCCAAAACUCAAUGAAGAUAAGGUGAAGUAAUGCGUUGACGCUGCUAAGUUAAAUGGAGAAUAGCCUCCUAAGGUAGUUGCAAAGGUACUGAAGAUGGUAACUUUGACUGAAAAUAAUACAUCAAAUUCAAGCUUUCUUAGUGGAAAAGCAAAGGAUUGUCAAGAAGGUUUUGAACAUCUAGAAAGCAAAGGAAAAGCAAGCUUCAAGGAGCUAGAAAGCGGACCAUGAAAGCAAAACUUUUUCGAUUUUAAGAAAUGAAUGAGAAACCAGGGAAACUUACUUUCUUUGUAUUGAAUUCCCUAUUUCUAUUGGGUUUGAAUUGACAAAAUUACUUAUAUAUAUAUGAACUGUAUUUAUAC